rnacentral:lncRNA from 1 species
AAAGAGCAAAAGAAGAAGAAGUUGUGAUGGCUUCCUCUAUGCUCUCCUCUGCCGCUGUGGUUACCUCCCCAGCUCAAGCCACCAUGGUCGCUCCAUUCACCGGCUUGAAGUCAUCCGCUACUUUCCCCGUCACCCGCAAGGCCAACAACGACAUUACUUCUAUCUCAAGCAACGGCGGAAGAGUUAGCUGCAUGAAGGUAAUGUCCUAUAAAAACUGUAUUUUGUCAUGUGUAAUUAGUGAAAUUGAACAAAACUUAGAAUAAUUGGAAUUGGGAGUUAUAGGUGUGGCCACCAAUUGGAAAGAAGAAGUUUGAGACUCUAUCUUACCUCCCUGACCUUACUGACGUCGAAUUGGCUAAGGAAGUUGACUACCUUCUCCGCAACAAGUGGAUUCCUUGUGUUGAAUUCGAGUUAGAGGUAAUAAACACUGGACCUUUCGUUUGUCUCUAAUCAUUAUAUAUUAUUUUCUUACAUAGCUAAAAACCAAAGUCAAUAAGCUUAUUUUCGUUUGUCUCUAAUCAUUGUUCAUUGAAUGGAUUUCGUAUUCAUUUAUAGCAUGGAUUUGUGUACCGUGAGCAUGGAAACACACCUGGAUACUACGAUGGACGGUACUGGACAAUGUGGAAGCUUCCAUUGUUCGGAUGCACCGACUCCGCUCAAGUGUUGAAGGAAGUGCAAGAGUGCAAGAAGGAGUACCCUAACGCCUUCAUUAGGAUCAUCGGAUUUGACAACAACCGUCAAGUCCAGUGCAUCAGUUUCAUUGCCUACAAGCCCCCAAGCUUCACUGAUUCUUAAUUAAAUCCUUUCUGGAAUAUUCAAUGUUGACUAUCCGGAACAAUUUUGUAUGGUCAAUGUAAAUUUAAGUAACUAUUAUCUAGCCAACUUAAACGUUGAGCAAUUGUUUUGCGAAAAGUGAAAAAGUUGAAGGUUUAUUUUCUAUCAUUUCCUCUAUAAUUAUAUCUAUUCAUAUCAUUUCAUUUUUGAUCUUAUCACUUUGAACUCUUUCAUCUUCGAUUUAGCUCUUUUAAGCAACAUUUUAUUUCCUUUACAUUUCCCUCCUAAUUUUUGCUUUUGAUUCUCUAGACUAACCUAUAAUAGAAGAGAGACCUUUUUAGAUACCUUUUUGGAAAAACUUUGCACAUGAAAUCAUAACAAAGAUGCCUCAAUAAAUCAAAUCUCGAAAGGGCCAGUACCUUGUGACUUAGAUGGAUGGGCUAGGACGAUCUCGCUUUCGAAAAAAAGAUUUAUUUGAUUUUGCUGUGGGUGGAGCAAUGUUGACUACCUCCGCACUAUUUUCUUGAACGGUUUUGGCUAUUUUGUACCUUGUACGCGCUUCUGCUCACGGGAAAUUUGUGAGCUUUAAGUUGGUAUUGUGGAUCCAUGACCAUAGCUUCUUCCUGUGGCCUUAGGGAGAGUUCUUGCCUCGGUUCCACACCGUCCAUUGAAGUGUGCUAUGAAAAUUCCCCACAAUCUGUCAUGUCUUCCAUGCUUAAGUUGACAUGGUGGAAAUCAUCUUGAGGUGCCACAUUUUAAGUGGGCCGUACGUGCAAUGGUGUGGUGCUCCGAAAGGAACGGUAGCAUGGGUUCCUAUAGCAUUGGAUCGUUUUCUAAACAAUAUGCAUUAUGUGUUUAUAAAUUUUAGUAAUUGUACAUACAUGUCCCAGUUUAAAAACAGAUUAACAUACAUUAUAAUUUUAAGGGCUGCCUAUAGCGUUACACCUAUACUAUAGCGUUUCAACUCCUAUCCACCUGUACUUUCGACCUCUGCCCAAUUCACCUUAUACUUGUUUUAAACUUCCUAAUUCCACCUAAACUAUUAAAUUCUCCAUAAUUAACCAAAAUCAAGAACUCUCUAUAAUUGCGAUUAAAAAUCGUUCAAAUCGCGUUUACUGUAGGCCAACCCGAGUCAGAUCCGACCAGCUUCGAAGACUUCUUUCACCAUAAGGGUUUGACUCGUGUUCAUUUGUUUUGUCGGGUCAACCUCGGAUUAAUAUAAACACAUAUUUUUUUACUGCAAUUUGAACUAUUUUUAAUCGUAAUUAUAGAGAGUUGGGCAGAUGUCGAAAGUACAUGUGGAUAGGAGUUGAAACGAUAUAUAUAGUAUAGUUGUAACGCUAUAGGCAGCCCUAAUUUUAAUAAGAAUGAUAUAAACUCAACUAAACUUCCUCUUCUUAGUUUGAAACUUUGCAUGACCAUUAACUCUCUUAUACUGCAUAAGACAUAAUUAGUGACAUAUUUUUUUCUUUCUAUUAUCAAUAUUUUCGUUAGCAUGUACUCGUUGUAAGAUGAAUAGAGAAAUAAUUGAAUUAUGAAAUAACGAAAUCAAUGUAUAUAUAUAUAAAACAAAAACAAUUUUACGCUGAACAAUUUUUUUUUAAAAAAAGGCAAAAAAAUUGCUUGUUUCAUAUUAUAGGAUGUUUUGGACCUUUUUUUUUGUUUCACAAUAUAUAAUGCUUUGAAGAAAAAAUACAAGUUUCUAUGUAAAACAUUAAAUUUAAUAGAUUAUUGACUAUUUACAUUAUGCAGUAAAUUAUAUCACUGAUUAAAUUAUUUUUAAUAGAUAUUAAUUUUUGUUUUAAUGUUAAAAACUCAAGAUUAGUUAAUUUCUUAAACUUUGUGCUUUCAUCUUUUUUUUUAUCUUUUUUUUUUGUCAUCCGAAAUUAAUUAUACCUCAAAAGAGAGAGUAUUAUUUGAAACAAAGAGAGUAUUAUUUAGCAGAUAAAUGACUUUUAUCUGAUUUAAUUAUAAUUUUAAAAUGUGCGGGAUGAAUUAAAAGAUCAUUUAUCAUUUUUCACGUUUUGUUUUUUUCCAGUUAGGUUUUUGUGAAUGGUUUUUACUCAGCGUAAUCAUGUUUUAAGAACAAGAACGUGAGAAAGUUAACAAAAUACCGUUGCAAGACUUUAUUUUUGUUUUACACAAAAUGUAGUUUUAUAUUUUCAAAGUAGUUUUUUUUAAUAGAAUUUACUUAUAUUCUUUUUAGUUAAGAUAAUCAAAUGGGAAAAUAAAAAUAUUAAUGUGUUAAUACAAGAUAAUAGAAAUUUAAUCAUUUUAAUAUAUAUGUAAAAAGUAUUCAACCGAUAUUUACAAUUAGACAGAACUAAGAAGUAUUAAAUUUCUCACCUCACCUCCCAAAAGAAAGGAGCCAAAAGCAACCGAUCAAGUGGAGACCAGUACUAGCCAUACACAUUCACUCGUUCCCUUACAAGAGAAAGAUAAGAUUAUGGAGUUUUCUGCCACUUGGUCUUAUCCUAGUGGUCCGAAUUGAUAAGGGUUUCAACACCUUUCCUUAAUCCUGUGGCAAUUAACGACGUUAUCAUGAAUUAUGGCCACUUUGAUCAUUAGGGCUUUUUGCCUUGCAGUUCUCACUAUAUAAAGAUGACCAAAUCAAUCGACAAACAAGUAAAAGAAACAACAAGAAGUAGUGAUGGCUUCAUCUAUGCUCUCCUCUGCCGCUAUGGUUACCUCCCCAGCUCAAGCCACCAUGGUCGCUCCAUUCACCGGCUUGAAGUCAUCCGCUGCUUUCCCGGUCACCCGCAAGGCCAACAACGACAUUACUUCUAUCUCAAGCAACGGCGGAAGAGUUAGCUGCAUGAAGGUAAUGUCCUAUAAAAACUGUAUUUUGUCAUGUGUAAUUAGUGAAAUUGAACAAAACUUAGAAUAAUUGGAAUUGGGAGUUAUAGGUGUGGCCACCAAUUGGAAAGAAGAAGUUUGAGACUCUAUCUUACCUCCCUGACCUUACUGACGUCGAAUUGGCUAAGGAAGUUGACUACCUUCUCCGCAACAAGUGGAUUCCUUGUGUUGAAUUCGAGUUAGAGGUACUAAACACCGAACUUUUCCUUUGUCUCUAAUCAUCCUUUAUUAUUUCUGUUCAUUGGUAGAAACAUAAGUCAAUAACCGGAUUUUAAAACCCGAAAUAGACUAUAACCGUGUGACUCCUCGACUAUCAAUGGUAUUGAAUGGUUUUGUCAUCUGUUUAUAGCACGGAUUUGUGUACCGUGAGCACGGAAACACUCCCGGAUACUACGAUGGACGGUACUGGACAAUGUGGAAGCUUCCAUUGUUCGGAUGCACCGAUUCUGCUCAAGUGUUGAAGGAAGUGCAAGAAUGCAAGAAGGAGUACCCUAAUGCCUUCAUUAGGAUCAUCGGAUUCGACAACAACCGUCAAGUCCAAUGCAUCAGUUUCAUUGCCUACAAGCCCCCAAGCUUCACCGAUGCUUAAUUCCCUUUCUGGAAUGUUCAACGUUGACUAGUAUUUCGGAAUCCAAUUCUAUGUGGUCAAUGCAAAUUUAAGAAAUUAAUUAGCCGACUUAAAAGUUGAGGAAUUAUUGUGUGAAAGUGAAAAAUUUGAAGGUUUUUUCUAUCAAUUUCCUUAUAAUUAUAUUUACUCAUUUGAUUUCAUUUUUUUUCUUCUAGCUCUUUGAGCUCUAUUUUUCGUUUAGCUCCUUUUGACAACAUUCCGGUUCAUUUAAAUUCUCCUCAUUAUUCUUGCUUUUGAGAAAUUGGCUACAUUGUUUCGAGAAAUUUUGCACAUGAAAGCAUAACAAAGAUGCCUCAAUUUAUCAAACCUCGAUGAUUUAGAACAAAAGAUUAUUUAAGGGGGUGUAACCUUUUAAGAUGAAAUAGCCAUUGGAGAUAGCAAAAGGUAGUAAAAGACGUAUACACUAUAAACAAAAUCCAAAUGUAUGCUUUUAAAAUUAUAAACAUGUAUUCCAAACGCCUAAGUGGAAUAUUCAGUUUAAUUCAAGUCCAAGAAAUGGCAUUAUAUAAAGCAAGGAUCGACAAAGACUGAAAUUUGUCUAGCAUGAAGUUACUAAAUUUUGGAAAUUGUGUUCACGUUAAAAGCUGAAACUUAACAGUUAUUUAUAAGGAAAAGCAGUUAAUGUUCCCAAAAAGUUCUAAAUGAAACUAGAAACCAAAUGAUAAAGAAAACGUAGCAUCUACAUGUUUGGUUUUAGUUUUUUUUUUUUUGACAAAAAUAUUCAAAUGUUUUUAGAUUCUUCUAUGCAAACGAUAUAUAGAAAAUAUAUACAUGAUUCAAAUAUAAUACAAAUAAAAAUAAUUAUUGAAAUUACCGAACAUUUUUUUGCAUCUCCCUGAUUUACUUCCCACAUUUUCGUUUCAAAUAAAAUUCAAGAAAAAGAAAGACGACGAAAAAAAAUGACUUAAAAAGACAAGGGACAGAAGCUGGUAACUUAGAUGGAUGGGUUAGGACUAUCUCACUUUCGAAAAAUGUUUAUUUGGUUGAGGUGCGGAGUGGAGUGGAGCUUGUGAUUCUUUGCCCUAUAUGAGAGUUUUUUCGUGACCAAUUAUGGUGAUUGUGUACUUUGUAUACAUGUUUCUUCUCAUAUGGUUGAAAUGGGGGCAUUUGUGAGCUUUAAGGUGGCAGUCUUGAUCCACGACCAUAGCUUUACAUGACUUUAAGGUGAGUUCUUGCCUUGGUUCUACACCGUUGAUUGAAAUGAAUUAUGAAAAUUCCUCAUGAUCCGCCAUUUUUACAUGCUAAGUUUUUUUUUUUUGAAAAAUGCAUGCUUAAGUUGAAACGGUGGUUAUCAACUUGAGGUGCCAUAUUUGUGAUUAAGUGGGCCGUAAGUGCAACGGCGUGGUACUCAAAGAGGAACGGUGGGGUGGGUUUCACAUCGUGAUUGUGAUGUGAGUAUGUAUGUGACCAGAGUCCAGGGCCGGCUCAAAAUUAUUCGAGACCUUGUGCUGAUGUAUAAAAAUUGGUUUUUAAAUAAUAUAGUGAAAAUUUUGGACCCUCAAUCUUAGAGGAAAUUGAAAUUUUUUUUUGAGGACCCUGUGCUUUUGCUCCUCUAGCACACCCUUAGAGCUGGCACUGCCAGAGUCACAAGAUAAUCGUGAGCUGGUCUUACUUGUUGAUCGAGAGGCAGCAUUAACUCAUAUAGAAGAAACCAUGGACCUCCGACCUUGGGAGGUUUUCUUGGAAAUUCUUCCAUGAUGGAAGCUUACCGCAUGAGCAUGAUACAGGUAGAUGCAUGAUGGUUUCGGUUGUUUGCUCGAUCGCUUUCUACCACAAACAUAUCUUGCAUCUAAUUGUUGUUGCCUUGUUGGUUCUCAAAUAUUUACUCUCGAAACAGUAAGAUGUUGUUAGCCAUACGUAAAUCAGAAAUAAAAGUAUAGUUGGCUAAAACUGCAGUGAGUAUAGAAUUAACCGAUAUCAAUUUAUUCAAAUUUCCGUCUCUCUUUUCUUUUGUUGGCUAAUAUAUUAUCAUUUGAAGAUAAUAUAUAGUUUUUCCAAGAAAAGAAUAUUGACAAUUUUUUUGUGGUAAGUGAUUUUAAGAAUGACUCCAGAAUCGACAGGUUACCCAGACAAUAUUUAUCAUGGAUAAACCUAUCGAAAAAUCUUAAAAAUCAGUAUUAAUAAAACGGAAGUAGUAAUGAACUUCUAAGCUAUGCAUUACAAUACAUUUAUCUCAAUGUCGAAUUUAAAUAAUUUUCUUAGAACUCCUUUUUUAAUGCGACCUUAUUCACCAAAUCAAGUGAAGCCAAAUUAAAUCAUGCAUGGUAAAUAAAAUAUCCAAAAGCAUUAAAUUUAAGGUAAUGCGUCUGAUUUCUUUCCUCCCAAACGAAAGGAGCCAAAAGCAACCGAUCAAGUGGAAACCAAUAACCACACAUUCACUUCGUUUCCCCCACAAGAGAAGAUAAGAUAAUGGAGUUUUCUGCCACGUGGCAUUAUCCUAGUGGUCCGUACCGAUAAGGGUGUCAACACCUUUCCUUAAUCCUGUGGCAGUAAACGACGUUAUCAUGAAUUAUGGACCCUUUGAUCAUGAGGGGCUUUUUUCCUGUUGCGGUUCUCACUAUAUAAAGAUGACAAAACCAGUAGACAAACAAGUAAGUAAGAGAAAAGAGCAAAAGAAGAAGAGAAACAACAAGAAGUAGUAAUGGCUUCCUCUAUGCUCUCCUCGGCCGCUGUGGUUACCUCCCCGGCUCAAGCCACCAUGGUCGCUCCAUUCUCCGGCUUGAAGUCAUCCGCUGCUUUCCCGGUCACCCGCAAGGCCAACAACGACAUUACUUCCAUCGCAAGCAACGGGGGAAGAGUUAGCUGCAUGAAGGUAAAGUAAAGUCAUUAAUGAAAGAUGUCUUUUGUCAUGGCAAUUAGUGUAAUUGAACAAAACAUAGAAUAAUUGGAAUUGGAUUCGGGAAUUAUAGGUAUGGCCACCAAUCGGAAAGAAGAAGUUUGAGACUUUAUCUUACCUCCCUGACCUUACUGACGUCGAAUUGGCUAAGGAAGUUGACUACCUUCUCCGCAACAAGUGGAUUCCUUGUGUUGAAUUCGAGUUAGAGGUAAUAAACACUGAACCUUUCCUUUGUCUCUAAUCAUUAUAUAUUAUUUUCUUACAUAGCUAAAAACCAAAGUCAAUAAGCUUAUUUUCUACACCAAAGUUGAGGCUAUCAUUGUCCAUCGAAUGGUUUUCUUAUGUGUUUAUAGCACGGAUUUGUGUACCGUGAACACGGAAACACUCCCGGAUACUACGAUGGACGGUACUGGACAAUGUGGAAGCUUCCAUUGUUCGGAUGCACCGACUCCGCUCAAGUGUUGAAGGAAGUGCAAGAAUGCAAGAAGGAGUACCCUAAUGCCUUCAUUAGGAUCAUCGGAUUCGACAACAACCGUCAAGUCCAAUGCAUCAGUUUCAUCGCCUACAAGCCCCCAAGCUUCACCGAUGCUUAAUUCCCUUUCUAAAACAUUCAUAUAAAUUAUCUCUGCUUAUUUCAUUCCUAUUGUCUGUGUUGUUUUCUCUUUAUGAGACAUUUUAUAUCGGAUUGUCAAAUGUCUGAUUUAUGAAUAUGUAUUUUAUAUAUUCUUGCGUCUUGAUUUUUCCGAUGCUUAAUUAGGUUUAGAAUUUUUAUUGCGAUAAGAAAAUAUACAAAAAAAUCGUUAAGAAGAAAAAAAUGCGUUAGUGGUAAUAUACUACUAGAAUAAUAA